AAAUUGAAGAGUUUGAUCAUGGCUCAGAUUGAACGCUGGCGGCAGGCCUAACACAUGCAAGUCGAACGGUAACAGGAAGAAGCUUGCUUCUUUGCUGACGAGUGGCGGACGGGUGAGUAAUGUCUGGGAAACUGCCUGAUGGAGGGGGAUAACUACUGGAAACGGUAGCUAAUACCGCAUAACGUCGCAAGACCAAAGAGGGGGACCUUCGGGCCUCUUGCCAUCGGAUGUGCCCAGAUGGGAUUAGCUAGUAGGUGGGGUAACGGCUCACCUAGGCGACGAUCCCUAGCUGGUCUGAGAGGAUGACCAGCCACACUGGAACUGAGACACGGUCCAGACUCCUACGGGAGGCAGCAGUGGGGAAUAUUGCACAAUGGGCGCAAGCCUGAUGCAGCCAUGCCGCGUGUAUGAAGAAGGCCUUCGGGUUGUAAAGUACUU
rnacentral:rRNA from 1 species